CAUCUCACUUUCCUCAUUUUCUUUUCCUUCGUUUUCUCUCACUGGGAGAGGGGAGAGGCCAAGGUCGCGGGGCGGCGGAGGCGGCGGGGCUUUUCUUCCACAGCGAGGUCGAGGUCACUCGGGGCGGCGGCGCUGCGGGGAGGUGGGGCUGCGGUGCGGCUCUGUUUCCUUCCACGGCGAGGCCGAAGUCACUCGGGCGUGGCAGGGCAGCGGGCCGGCGUUGCUGCGGGGAGGCGAGGCUUCCUUCCACGGCGGGGCGGUGGCUGGAGUUUUCGCCGCGGAGCAGGAGGCCGGAGUUGUUCGAGUCGAACUAUGGGCUUGCGCGAAGGCAGAGGAGCUCCCGUCGUCCAUGGCGAAGCUUCUAGCGAGUUGCCACUGUUUCGAGGAGGAUGUAGGAGGAUGCGUUGCCGGCGAGAUUGGAUGAUUUUGUUCACCAGCUUCAUCCCUGAGUGUAUCGGAGGUGUCGAAAGCAGGCAGCCGUGGAUGGUCAAGCGGUUGGUGAACAGCAAGGCAGUCGCGGAUGGUCAAGUGAUCCAACAUAAUUUUGGGGGAGAUGUACAAGCUUGACCUAGAAAACGAGAGAAAAGAGGAUCCGGGAAGCAGUAGGGGUGAGGUGGAGAAGUGAAGUACAUGUCCUGAGAGUGUAUGAUGUACAGAGGGUUGCCUAGAUUCAUCUGCACACUCCAUUGAGCCGUAGUUCUCAUUCCCGUCCAUCUUGGAUGUGGAUCGGUCUUGUUUCUUGCCGGAUCUCUUUUGUUCCCUCCUCUUUUUUCUGAUUUCCUGUGUGGUGCCCGUCGUUUGCUGGAGACAGGAUGCACCUGGUAGAACAGGCCAACGGAAAUAGAAGGCCCAGUUUUCUGUUUAAUGUACAAGGUCCUGACCCAGAUCACUGUUUCCUGUGGGUCCACAUUUUUUGUCUAGUUUUUAUGCACCAGAGCCCAGUUCAAAAAAAGGCUCAUGUAUAAAUAAGGGGCUGAUGCAAAAAAAGCCAGGAAAAACCGGACUGAUUUUUUGGCAAAUGAUUCAUGCCGAAGGGAAUGAGGCCGAUGUAGCCGAACGGAUGAA